CUGCCUCUCCUCUUCCUCCAGCCCGCCUCUCUCUCCCUCCAAACCCUAAACCGCGCCCGCCUCCCUGCCCCGCCGGCCGCCGCCAUCGCUCGCCCAGGCAACCGCCCCACACUCGCGCCGCCGCCGUCGCCCCCUCUCCUCUUCCUCCCGCCCGUGCCUCACUGCGGCCUCCUCCCGGCUCCUCGUCCGCGGCCUCGACGGCGCCCCCGUGCUCCACCUCAAGGCGCACCACGCUGGCCGGGCGCGCUACGUGCUCUCCUGCGACACCGGCCGCCGCAUCUGCAUCUUCACCGAGAACGGCACGCGUCCGUCACCCGUGCGGACAGGACUCCUCCUCUUCCCUACCUCGGGGGCACGGAGGUGCUGACGGAGAAGCCCAGCUGGGUUCGCCAUGACGGCCUGCAGAUCUUCUCCAUCAACAUCCAGCCCAGCGGCCUCCGCUUCGCCACGGGAGGUAGCGACCAGAAGGUUCCCAUAUGGAACAUGAAAUCCAUGAGCAAAGACGACCAAAAUGAUGAUUCCAAUCAAACAUUUCUGGCUACAAUGUGUGACCAUUUCGGAUCAGUAAACUGUGUGAGAUGGGCCAAGCAUGGACGCUAUCUUGCUUCCGGAUCAGACAAUCAAGCUAUUCUAAUUCGUGAAAGGAAAGCUGGUUCCGGUACAUCUGAGUUUGGAAGUGGAGAGCCUGCAGAUAUAGAAAAUUGGAAGGUCAUUAUGACCUUAAGGGGGCAUACUGCAGACGUGGUAGAUCUAAAUUGGUCCCUUGAUGACUCGAUGUUGGCUAGCGGAGCUUGGACAAUACUGUUCACAUUUGGAGCAUGACAAACGGUAUUUGCACUGCCAUCUUGCGGGGGCAUUCCAGCUUAGUUAAAGGAGUUACCUGGGAUCCUAUUGGAUCUUUUAUUGCAAGCCAGUCAGACGACAAGACUGCUAUCAUAUGGCGUACGAGUGACUGGAGUCUUGCUCACAAGACUGAAGGCCAUUGGUCAAAAUCUGUAUGUUAUGUUUCAUGCAAUUUUGUUAUCAAUUUACUGUUUCCGUGUCUGACAUGUCUUUUUGUUCAUCCAUAGUUUUUUUGUUCUUUUUAUUCAGUUGAAGUAGUCAUUCUUUGGUUUUAUUCUGUAUGAAAACCAUCUUCACAGAAAUUAACAAUUUAAUAUGUGCUUAUUAUCAGUUCAGUGCUAAUAUUGUAAGACAAUAGUACAGUUAAGCUUACUGUGUUGGGAAAUUUCUCCCCUUUGAUUCCACAACUGUAUGUGUUAGGUAGGCUGGAUGGAGUAGGAUUAGUUAGUGGAUCAGACACCGGAUGCGUAUUUAAAAGAGUGGGAGUGCUACAAAGAUGAGGAGGAAGAAAUCCUAAAAAGGGUGCUCAUGUAUGUUGGGGAUUAGGGAAUACAGUAAAAAAUACCAUGCAGUUCAUACUGGUAUCGGUGGACAAACAACAAUUUGUGCUCUACUGUAUCAGCUUAGCGUGGUUCUCUUAGUUGUCUCCAUGAUGUGUCAAUAAUGUUGGGAGAUGCUUUUUUCCCAAACAUUGAACGUAUAAUACAUCUAAUUCUUGCAAGCAUGGCUCGAAGCAACACAUGCUAGGCCUGACCGCAACUACCCUCUUUCGUCCACUUCCUCUUUUGCCUACUCAAUCUAUACUUCCUCACUUUUUUUGAGACAUACUUUUUUUAUUGUCUAUUUUUCUGAACCAACAUCGUGGGUAACUGGCCUUCAGACUGCUUCUUUUUAGCAAAUAUCUAACUUCACGGAUCAGCUUCACAAUGUUAUCGCACAUGGCUUUCCACCUACUCGUGUUGUAGACAAAAACACCAAUGAAACCCUUAUGAAUGUUGAAGUGGUGGCGAACAAUCUUAGGCUAGCAGAGUCUGGUUUCGUAUCUGGAUUGAAAUGGAAUUGCUUGGUAGAACUGAUGUUUAAAAUAGUGCUUAGUUUUGUAACAAAGGAAAAUGUUGUGACACAUUCAUCCAUGAGAACCGUAUUCAGCUUUUAUCUAAUUAUGCAGUCAACAAUUUAAUUUUGAAUCUAUUCUGGUGCAGUCUUUCUAUGCUUGUGUUGCUAAUAUUGCUAUAAGUAAUAUACGACAUUCCUGGCAGAAUAAAUGAAUGUUGAAUGGGGAUGUCAUAGGUUAAUCCUACUUUUUUUUCUUAAACUUCCAUAUGCGUGCCCAAUUUAGACAGUGCAAAUUAAUUUGGAGUUUGAUUCUAUAGUUUUUAUUUGCAUGUCCUUCUUUUCUGCUCUACCAAGGUCUAUUUUUAUUUAAAAAAUAGAAAUCUGAUGAAUGAUUUAAUAGUCUAAUAGUUGAUGUUGUUAGCAUGAGCAGAAUGUGUGUUGUACUAAUGCCAACGAACAGGGUCAGCAAGCUACAUGCUUCAUAACAUUGUGCACCUUUAUUCAGAAUAUAUGCACGUCAUUUUUGCCGCAGAACCAAAGGUUUAUUCAUCAUCAAUGAUGGCUUGUAUGUGCUGGUGAGAGGAUUACUAAAAUUGUGUUCAGUCCAUACUACAUGCCCCCGGAGGGUAUUAAAGCACAACUUUGGCCCUGAAAUCAGUGUCUGGAUUGCAGGAGUUAUAUGUGUCGCCAUUUUAGGAAGAAACUAAAGAGGGAGUAGCACAUGCAAGUAUAUGCUCUGUGGUAGAUUUAAAAAGAGACGCAUGGCCCAGAGUAUUUGAGCCUGCUAAAGACUUUGUUCGACGGAUGCUGGAUCCAAAUAUGAUCACACAGCUUAUUGCAGCACAAGUACUCGGAUCUCCUUAAACAAGCCUCAUCAAAUACACCUGCGAGCUGCACGACAAGCUAUGAUUAAAUACUAUGUACAAGUAUGGGACAGAGUAGUACGAGCAAAUGAAGGUUACCGGACAGACACAUGGAGCAUGAGCUCCUCUUUUUCAGGGGCCACCAUACUUGUGUGGCCUCAGGCCGAGGAGACCUUUCUAAGGUCCUGUACCAGCAAGUCGAUACACUGUUAACUGGAAGCAGAGAAAGAGGUGGGUAGGAAGAGGAGAUCAUGUCUAGCGCUCUGCAUCUCCCGUAGGCAACUUGAUGGUAGAAUCUUAUCACCAACGUCGUCCUCCAAGUCUGCAUCUAAUGCCAUUUGUUUAGUUGAUAGUUUUUCAUGAAUGCCAAGCCACUUUUGAAGCAGAGAAUUUGUACAUGCAGAUUUUAUUGAUAGCAAACAGACGUGGUUGUUUUUGCUCUCAGCAUAUGUGCCUCUUCUCAGCACCUGAUUGACACCGUAGUUUUUCUGAUGUCCAUUGCUUUUCAAGUACUGAUUGGUGUCACGACUUCAGUUGGCUGGGGUUUUCUUGGGUUGUGAAAUCAAAGUCAGAUUAUGGUGGUAUCGUGCCACCAGGUUUGAAAGUGAGGAAUCAUUUUACAUGGAAGUGAUCAAGCGGAGUAAUAUUUAAGGGGUUUAAUAUUUGUAUCCAAAACGAUGCAAACUGGAGUUGGUGACCAGCCCUUCUCGCUCGCCCUCGGCCUUGACACCACCGCUGACGCCUGUAGGAGCAGUCGGGCAUCGGCGACGAUGCUGGCAAGGCAACAUGCGUUGCAACAUGCAAUCAAAUCAAAUGAAGGAGUGUGGACAAAGUUAUAUAUCAAGCAAAUUGGAUGAAGGCGUGUGGAUAAAGUUAUAUUUAAUAUUCAACCAUGUAGUUUACUGUUAUGUAGUGUGAAAAAUGGUGUACAUAAGUUAUCUGGGACUAAUACUAUGGCCUGCUUCUGAUUUCUACCAUACCAAACCUUGCUUAGAUAGGGCCAUUUUGUAGAUAUUUCAUGGGUGUUUGCUGUUGUGAGUAUCUACCAUCACCUACUCUUUGAGUAAUAUCAGAUAUAUUUCCAUC